AUGGAUGACAGACAAUGGCUAGAGGAUAACUUUGGACAGUUCAGAUUCCUGGCCUCCUAUCAAGAUUUUAUUUCCCUGAAAAACAAUUUCAAUGCCGUUGAAGUUGCGGAUCUUCUCACUGUCAGUCAGCUCGGGCAGCUUGCAGCAACACCCUCACAGCUAACAAGCAAGCAAGUUGUUGCAAAAAUUAUGACAGCCAUCACCCCUGCUGAAUUUGACGUUUUCUUUGACAUCGUUUCACCAGCUAUUGAAGCACAGUCAGCCAGCUACUCUGUUGAUGUGAAAUCUGCCUUCAUCCAAGCAGUUUUUGCCAGAGGAAAUCUUUCCUCCUCUGCUGUUAAUGAUGAAGAGUUCCUGCACUGGCUCACAGUUAGAUUAUGCCCUCUCUUUGUCAACCUGUCCUCAAACCUGGUGACCCCCUUAUUCCAAAUUGGAACAAGUAGAAACUGCAAUGGGAGUCAAGAGUUGAUUAAACUCCUGGACACACUAAAGAUGACAUUCACGACCAACACUGAAAAGGAGGUUUACAGAAACAUCCUCCUGUUCCUUCAAGUUCCAGUCCCCCUGAAAUGUUACAAGAGUGGAAGUUUCUACACCUAUUUGAAAAGUAGUUUUCUGAGCUUUGGAUUUCCAAAUGUGUCUACACUUGUGUCUCUUUUACCAACAAUACGCAAGUCAGAGCUCCUUAAUACCAUCAGUCCAGCAGAACUGGGUCACUUCCUCAGUCAAUCCAAUGUGAUUGAUGACCAGUUGAGUUUAUGUGAUGUCUUUAACAACUACAACAACUCUCCUGCUUUCCUGGAAACUGAGAAUGUUCCAGAUGAUGUUAAGACAAAGAUUCUCCCCUGUUUUUGGCAUACAGCCUUGGAAAUUAACCAAAAACUUGAAGUUGACUUGUGGUUGGAAGGUGUAUUACUUGGGAAACAUUUUCAUAUAUAG
rnacentral:lncRNA from 1 species